GCACCUAAUUCUACAGCCUACAGUCAAGACACGGCAGGCUUGAUUGCUCAGGAUAACCUGGUGGAGGGGGGAGGGGCCGGAGCAUCAUCUUCGGUCACAGUGAGCACGGGUGGGGCAGGAGAGUGUGAUGACAACAGCCAGCCCC